UAGAAGUUACUUGCCGUUUGAAAGUCCUAAAGUCUUAAAGAACCUGUUGCAACAAAGGUAAUUGAAAGGAGAUGCUUUGAACAUUAUAGAAUGAACACCUAUUGAUAUGACUUUUGUUACACACAUCGUUUUGUUGAUUAAUCUAUUGCAGCUGAUUGAUUAAAAGAAACAAACCACACAUCUGCGUCUUCAGCUUCAGAAACAGGAACUCACGAGAAGCACGGGAAGGCAGCAUUAAAACUGGAGGAGUGCUGCCUCUGGCGCCAUCUUAUGGCCAAACGACAGUAGUAGCCCCAUUGGUGACAAUGUUUGAUUGUUAAACCUUUAACAAAAGUUGGGCUUUUGGACGGUGAGAAACAGCAGUUGUCCUGUGCAAUGCAGUGCAGCCAUUGAAGACGCCGUCCUGGAUUACACACAGCAGUGUUAUGUGUCUGAUUCAGCUACUGUUUGCCCCGACUAAACAAGACGGGUGAGAUAAGGGGGAGGCAGACUCGAGAGACGACGGAGAGCAAGAAUUCACCUGUUGUGUCUCCAGUCAACCAAAAGACCUGCUGGCAAGCAAAGUGUCAAAGGUCGGAAGUGCAAUUUUUUCCUUUGUAGGCUAACAUCACAUAUCUUUGAGAGUAGAAUGUUUGUGUUACUGUUGACCCUGUGCCGGUCACAUAAAGUUGUUUUGUCUUUUACAUUUAGUACACACACCGUCUGUAAUGGAGUGGCACCCUACAGCAUCUUGCUUAUUUACCUCCAGGAUGUAUUAAACAAUGGAUGAGGGAUCCAAACA